UGUCUCAAGAGGAGGUGAGGCUAUCUCUUGCGCAUGCAAACGUGAAGUUUGUGCCGGCUUCGACAUUUGCAGUCACUGAGCGCAUGGAGUGGGGAGAUCCCAACAAAUGUCAUAUUUGUGGGGAGGUAGGUCACUGGAAGAGGGAAUGUCCAACUCGUGGUAGAGGCAGGGGAUACAACAAAGGGGGCACUGGCAGAGGAAGGUAUGCUCGAGGCAGAGGUGGAUACCCAUGGAACUCAGGGGGUCAACUUUCUAGGGGCAGAGGUGGCUACUCAGGAAACUCAGGGGGCAGGGCGCAUAUGGUAGUUGAAGAGGACACUGGGACGUCACAGGGCAAGGGAGUUGAUGAGGCUGCUUAUGGAGACUUUGCUCACUGGGCCUCCACUGAUGAAGGAGCGACAGACGAGCCAGACGGUUGGGACUGGCACCAGGCGUAGGGGGCUCUGGUACAUGGACCAGGAGGUGCAACCGGACUUGGUGUGUGCUGCGACCAUGGAGGACAAGGAGAAGCAGGCGAUGAUCCAUCAUUGUAGAAUGGGUCAUGUAUCUUUUGAUAAGAUGAGUAGAAUCUUUUCGGAUGUUAUGUGUGGAAUAGGCAAGGGCAAGUUGACAUGUGAUGCUUGCGAAUAUGCAAAACACACACGAGCCUCAUAUGUGAGUAAGGGGCUUAGGAGCAUAUCUCCUUUUAUGCUCAUUCAUUCGGAUGUAUGGACUAGCCCAGUAGUGUCAAUGAAUGGAAAGAAGUAUUUUGUUA